UGCGCAUUGGUCAAGGGGUUAAGAUCCUGCCUUUUCACGGCAGUGGCAUCGGUUCGAAUCCGAUAUGCGUGU
rnacentral:tRNA from 1 species